UCUGAUCACUAGGUUUCCAUUUUUGAAAGACCACAGCUCCUCUGGCUAUGUAUGUAUCAUUCCUUAGUUGUAUUUUGAUAUUAACAACUUUUUUACGCAACAUAUAUACUGAGUGAGCUUCAUAACUUUGUCUAUACCUACAGGAAACCUUACUGGAGUGCCUAACAAACAAGUUCAAAAAAGAGAGGUCUCCUUUGCUGAACUUAACAAUUGUCCAGGAGAUGAAAAAGAAGUUUGGGACCAAAAGACAAGUGGAAACGAUGUGCCUUUGGAGGAACCUCAACAUCAGAGAGCAAAGAGGCGAAGAACGGAUAUGGAGAUAUCCUCUGGGAAUUUGGAUCCAACACAAGAGAUUUUGUUGGACUUAACCUUCAGAGAGCACAUGAGUGCAAUCAUUGGUGAGCUGCGCCGACGACAGCCAGACCUCCCCAACAUAAUGGACCGAAUGAAGCACACACUACACAAGAGGGUUGAGAACAUG